GACGAACGCUGGCGGCGUGGAUUAGGCAUGCAAGUCGAACGGUAGGAUACCUUCGGGGUAUCUGAGAGUGGCGAACGGGUGAGUAACACGUAGGUGAUCUACCCUCAAGAUUGGGACAACCCAGGGAAACUUGGGCUAAUACCGGAUGAAAGCAGCAGUGAUGUUGUUUGAAAGGUGGCGUAAGCUGCCGUUUGGGGAUGAGCCUGCGCUCUAUUAGUUAGUUGGCGGGGUAAAGGCCCACCAAGGCGAUGAUAGAUAGGCGGCCUUAACGGGUGGUCGCCCACACUGGGAUUGAGAUACGGCCCAGACUCCUACGGGAGGCAGCAGUCGAGAAUAGUCUACAAUGGCCGAAAGGCUGAUAGUGCGACGCCGCGUGAACGAAGAAGCCCUUCGGGGUGUAAAGUUCUUUUAUAUGUGAGCAGUGCUUUCUAUGUGAACAGCAUGGGGAGAGAGAUAUUAGCAUAUGAAUAAGCAACGGCUAACUCCGUG
rnacentral:rRNA from 1 species